ensembl:snoRNA
CUUUAUUUAAAGUGUAAUUCUACAAUUCCCUGUUGUUCUUUUGGUUUGCACUAGGAUGCAGAAGAGAAAUCCUUGCACUUUCUGUCUUUGUGGCAGCCCAGAUUGAAUUGGGGAAUACAUUU